UCAGGCCUAACACAUGCAAGUCGAGCGGGGUUUUCGGACAUAGCGGCGGACGGGUGAGUAAUGCGUAGGAAGCUACCCGACAGAGGGGGAUACCAGUUGGAAACGACUGUUAAUACCGCAUAAUGUCUACGGACCAAAGUGUGGGACCUUCGGGCCACAUGCUGUCGGAUGCGCCUACGUGGGAUUAGCUAGUUGGUGAGGUAAUGGCUCACCAAGGCGACGAUCCCUAGCUGGUUUGAGAGGAUGAUCAGCCACACUGGAACUGAGACACGGUCCAGACUCCUACGGGAGGCAGCAGUGGGGAAUAUUGGACAAUGGGCGCAAGCCUGAUUCAAAAGUGCCGCGUGUGUGAAGAAGGCCUUCGGGU
rnacentral:rRNA from 1 species